GACGAACGCUGGCGGCGUGCCUAAUACAUGCAAGUCGAACGCUUCUUUCCUCCCGAGUGCUUGCACUCAAUUGGAAAGAGGAGUGGCGGACGGGUGAGUAACACGUGGGUAACCUACCCAUCAGAGGGGGAUAACACUUGGAAACAGGUGCUAAUACCGCAUAACAGUUUAUGCCGCAUGGCAUAAGAGUGAAAGGCGCUUUCGGGUGUCGCUGAUGGAUGGACCCGCGGUGCAUUAGCUAGUUGGUGAGGUAACGGCUCACCAAGGCCACGAUGCAUAGCCGACCUCAGAGGUUGAUCGGCCACACUGGGACUGAGACACGGCCCAGACUCCUACGGGAGGCAGCAGUAGGGAAUCUUCGGCAAUGGACGAAAGUCUGACCGAGCAACGCCGCGUGAGUGAAGAAGGUUUUCGGAUCGUAAAACUCUGUUGUUAGAGAAGAACAAGGACGUUAGUAACUGAACGUCCCCUGACGGUAUCUAACCAGAAAGACACGGCUAACUACGUG
rnacentral:rRNA from 1 species